ACGGGGCGCAGCAGUUGCGAAAACUUCACACUGGGGGAAACCCCGAUGAGGGAAUUCCAAGUGCCAGCACAUUGUGUUGGCUGUUCUUUGGUCUAAAAAACCAGAGAAGUAAGGGCCGGGUAAGACGGGUGCCAGCCGCCGCGGUAAUACCCGCGGCCCAAGUGGUGGUCGAUAUUAUUGAGCCUAAAACGUCCGUAGCCGGUCUUGUAAAUCCUUGGGUAAAUCGACCAGCUUAACUGUUCGAAGUCCGGGGAGACUGCAAGACUUGGGAUCGGGAGAGGUCAGAGGUACUUCUGGGGUAGGGGUAAAAUCCUGUAAUCCUAGAAGGACCACCGGUGGCGAAGGCGUCUGACUAGAACGAAUCCGACGGUGAGGGACGAAGCCCUGGGGCGCAAACGGGAUUAGAUACCCCGGUAGUCCAGGGUGUAAACGCUGCGGGCUUGGUGUUGGGGGUCCUUUGAGGGCGCCCAGUGCCGGAGAGAAGUUGUUAAGCCUGCUGCUUGGGGAGUACGUCCGCAAGGAUGAAACU
rnacentral:rRNA from 1 species